rnacentral:rRNA from 1 species
UACGUAGGGUGCAAGCGUUAAUCGGAAUUACUGGGCGUAAAGCGUGCGCAGGCGGUUGUGCAAGACAGAUGUGAAAUCCCCGGGCUCAACCUGGGAAUUGCAUUUGUGACUGCACGGCUAGAGUGUGUCAGAGGGGGGGUAGAAUUCCACGUGUAGCAGUGAAAUGCGUAGAGAUGCGGAGGAACACCGAUGGCGAAGGCAGCCCCCCUGGGCUAGCACUGACGCUCAGGCACGAAAGCGUGGGGAGCAAACAGG